GAGAGAGGACACAGACAACACACAGACCAAGGUGCAACCAUGUGAGUGCACAGCGGAAAAACAGCCACCUGCAGGCCAAGGAGUGAGGCCUGAGAAGAAACAAACCUGCUGACACCUGAAUCUUGAACUUCUAGCUUUCAGACUUGGCAAUGAAAACUGUGGCCCCAGCAGUUUCUCACUCUCCAGCUACUCCACUGGCAGCUUCCAACAAUUUGUCAAAGUGACCACUUGCAUGCUCUUGCCAGUCUAUGGCUCCAGUUGCUUCUGUUCCAGGUCCUGGGGGAGAUAAUUUAAAACAACCUACAUGAGAUGGCCUUCAGGAAUAAUUAAAUCAAGCACAUACUGUGUGCACCUUUGGCUAUUUUAACCAAAUCUUGAGAGCAUCCUCUCUGACUGGGAAACACACUGCAGCCUACUCAUGAGAAUAUUAUUCUUUAAAUUUCAAUGCUACAGCAAUACUAUCUCGUAAGAUAAUUGUCUCCAGCGAGAUGAAAUAAGGCCAAGAAACCAAAGCUCUCCAGCCUCUUCUAAGUUUGCUUCUGAUGCCUGCCUCUCAUCCUCGCUUCUUCCAGCAGACCCCAAGCUGCCUCCAGGCUCCACUGUGCCAAUAUUCUUAAAGCAGUCUGGUUUGCUGGCAUGUUUUAGUAUUCCAUUUCUCACACCCUCUGAUGGCCAUUUUAUUUUAUUUUUAAGAGGGGAACUAAGAUAGGUGGCCUGAAGUACAGUAGUAACUUCCUUGAAUCAUGCUGUCCUGGCUAAUGUCAAUGAGAUAACUAAGGCACAUCCACAGAUCACAUUCUGGGCCUUUAAAAGCACUGCAUACAAACUCAGUAUUUCGUUUAGACAGUUUUCUUAUCUUCUUCAACUGGACCUCUUUGCUGACUCAUGUCAGCUUUGAGCUCAGAUUAGCCUGUGAACUUUACCUGGCUGAAAUUCAGUUUGGCCUCACUUUGCCAUUCUUGAUUCCACUUUUGAUUCAGACUGAAAUAUAAGGUAAGGCUAUGUUCAAUACAAGAACCUUACAAUCUGAUGAACAUGGACUUACUCAAGGAAGAGAUUUAUCUGCCUCAUGUGAGAAGAAGUCUGGGUUGAAGUAGAUUAGGGCUGGAACAGUAGCUCAAGGAUGCUAUCUGGGAACUGAGCAUUUUUUCUUCCUGCUCUACUGCCCUGAGGAUGACUGAUGUACCUCCAGCAUCAAGCUCAAAUUCUAGUCAAGAAGAAAGAAGCAGCAGAAGAAGCCCAGCCAACUUGAGAUUGUUUCAUUCAUCAGAUCUACCAUUGUCUCUGCUAGCUGCAAAAAACUCUGGGAAGGAAGAAGCAAAGAAAGAAGUCUAAGUUCUUUGGAGUAAGAUGCUCUCAAAUGCCUAGGAACACUGAUCUCCUAACUUGUCUUCCUGCUUUGAGUGUCCCUCUGAGGUUAAAGUUCCUGCCUCAGUCUCCAACAAUGGGACAGGGUCUCACCACGUUUACCAUGUUGCCCAGGCUGGUUUCGAACUCAUGGACUCAAGCAAUUCACCUGCCUUGGCCUCCCAAAGUGCUGGGAUUAUAGGCAUGAGCCACCGUGCCCAGUCUGAUGGCUUUAUUUUUGAUACAGGGAUGCAAGGUGCCCAGACUGUGCAAAGCAAUGGCAGCUGCAUGCAGUCCAGAGAGAGCACCUGGAGGCCGGGAAGACUUCCAAAAGAAAGUGAUACUUCCAAACAAAAGGAACAGGAAGUUGGCGUCUUGUCCGUCUGCCAUUCAAGAGGACUGAAUACGUUCCAUUAAAUUCGCCUGCAAACCUUUCCUGAAGAGCCCAGCAAGCAGCGAUGAAAAUUACAGAGUGGCUCCCAGGCACUUUAGUGGGUAAUCAGCUGAAAUUGAGCUGUUUUCCAUAUUCUUUGCUGAUAAUGCAAAAGGAACCUUUAAAACAAACAGCUCCAAGUCACCACACAUCCUACAAGCUGAAAGGGCCCAUGUGGUCCACACAGAUGCUCCAGCCACACACCAAGCCCUGCUGCAGAGUAAUUGGUUCCCACAGCUAUCAGAGCUAUUACAGCAAAUCAUUGUACAGAUGCUGUACUCUGCAGAGGCGCCAGCACUCUAAUUAUCCUGUGGAAGGAUAAUCAAUGCCAGCUGCCAGCUAGAGGAAUGCAAAAUCUCCACUGAGUAACCGAGAGCCCCUGCUGAGACUGACUGGAAGACACGGUGAGAAAGCAGCUGUCUACGAGCCAGAGAGUCCUCACCAUGAACCAAAUCACCCAGUACCUUGAUAUUAUACUUCUAACCUCCAGACUGUAAGAAAAUAAAUUUCUGCUGUUGAAGCC